rnacentral:lncRNA from 8 species
UAUACUUGUAAAUGUUUAGAAAGCUUCAUUAAACACAUGGAGACUAAUUAAAGCGGAAUGAAUUGUUCACUCUGUUAUUAUAGGGCAUGAGUGCUCGGACACAGACGAUGAGUCCCAUACACUGAAUCUGUCAGCAUUUGGACAACGAAGCAAGGGAAACAGGAGCAGAAGCAGUGAUCACUUCAGUUCCUCAUACAGGACAAAAUGCGCCAUCUACUGGAGACUCUGCGCAAUGACUUGUAAAGUCCAGCGAACACACCUACCUGUGGUGCAGAGCCUGAGACUGGUGAAGAGACAGAGACUGACCUUC